UAUCUCUGUAGAGUCUGCAUAUCAAUAAGCGGAGGAAAAGAAACUAACUAGGAUUCCCUCAGUAACGGCGAGUGAAGCGGGAAGAGCUCAAAUUUGAAAUCUUCAAGGUUCUACCUUGACGAAUUGUAGUUUAAAGAAGUGUUUUCUGUUGGUGUUUUGGUAAAAGUUCUUUGGAAUAGGACAUCAUAGAGGGUGAGAAUCCCGUAUUUGACCAUUACUUCCAGCGUUGUGAUACACUUUCAAAGAGUCGGAUUGUUUGGGAAUGCAGUCCAAAAUGGGUGGUAAAUUUCAUCUAAAGCUAAAUAUUGGCGAGAGACCGAUAGCGAACAAGUACCGUGAGGGAAAGAUGAAAAGAACUUUGAAAAGAGAGUUAAACAGUACGUGAAAUUGUCAAAAGGGAAGCGUUUGACACCAGUGUUGUUUUCUCGAAAAUCAAUUAAAAAAAGUUGGAUUUUGUAUUGUUAAGACCUUAUCAGCUUACUGUACUCUUUUCUUGCUUUUUUUAAUGCACUUUUCGUUUAACAAGUCAACAUCAAUUUCUUUUGUUGUAAAAGAGUCAUUGGAAGGUGGCUUUCACUUCGGUGAAAGUGUUUAUAGCCUUUGGCUUCUGCAAUCGGAGAGAUUGAGGUCUGCAGCGUAGAUCCUUCGGGGCUAGAUACGUAGAUGCUAAGUUAUAGCUUUUUAUAGACAACUUGUUGACUAUAAUUAAUCAUGUAGCUUACUCGUUUGCGCUAUUUUACCUACGCUUAGGAUGUGAAGUCAUCGUAUCGCGC
rnacentral:rRNA from 1 species